GUAAAAAGGUGAGCGAUGAACUGCGGUCUGUAACGUGGGCGCUUGGACCGGAGUGAGCCAGUAGCGCAACCGCCGCCUGCCAGU
rnacentral:ncRNA from 22 species